GAUGAAGAACGCAGCGAAAUGCGAUAAGUAAUGUGAAUUGCAGAAUUCAGUGAAUCAUCGAAUCUUUGAACGCACAUUGCGCCCGCCAGUAUUCUGGCGAGCAUGCCUGUUCGAGCGUCAUUUCAACCAUCAAGCCCCAGGCUUGUGUUGGAGCCCUGCGGCUGCCGCAGCCUCCCAAAACCAGUGGCGGGCUCGCUAUCACACCGAGUGCAGUAGUUUACUCUUCGCUCAGGGCGUGUGGCGGGUGCUAGCCGUGAAACCCCCAACUUCUCAAGGUUGACCUCGGAUCUGGUAGGAAUACCCGCUGAACUUAAGCAUAUCAAUAAGCGGAGGA
rnacentral:misc_RNA from 1 species